UGAAAUCACUCCUAUUGACCCCCUGGCAUAUUUAUAGCCUCUCUCUUUCUGCUGAGACUGGUAGUUUUCACCUUCCCUUCCCUGUGUUGUGUUUAUUCAGCAGCACGCUAAAUCACACCCGGGCACAAGUGGAGCAUUCAUCAGGAACCACGAGCCCCUCUUUCAGUCUGCCAAACCUAUCCAAUUACUGGGGCUGGAAGAGCCUGCACAAACCCUUCUGCCAGGCAGGCCUUGCAAAAUUCUAAAGAACAAAGUCCAACCAUCCAAGCAAUAUUUUAAAGAAUGAGAUCUGUGUUAACACUUAAAGACAUUUUCCACGUUGACCUCAUGAACCCCAAAAGAAGGAUGAAAGAAGUCUGGAAUUAAUGAAUUUAGGGAACCUGUAAAACUCCAAAAAUGUUUAAUGCAAAAAUGUGAUAUUUUUGGUAGGAAAUUUCCAUUGCUUUCAACAGAUUUGGGAAGGGACCCAAAAGAUGACUAAAAGCAUCUGCAUUUUAACCAAACUUCCAGAUGAACCUUCUUGCUGUGAUUCAUAAACAUGGCUGUACCUCUAAAUAGACUGGGACUUCCUUUUGGUACUAUGAUCAUCCCUAAUUAUUUCGUCCACUUCAACUCUCCCCAGCUCUGAACGUUCCUUAAUUCCUGGAUGUGACUUCCAAUUAAUUUUGACCCAGGCAGUAUAUUCUACAAUGCUUGACUUCAGGGCUACACUUUCCAGAAAGACCUCAAAUCAGACUUUCAGCUAACUCCCUUGUGGAGAAGGUGAGACAAUGAGAAACAUCUCCAUGCCAGGAGUGCGCAAGAGCUGUCUGCAAAAAGAUGUCUGUUGCAUGACACCAAGCAGCAAGUGUAAUUGAAGGGAAAUGCUCUAUCCAGAUACCAAGAGGACUAGUCACGAGACCAGGCCUCAAAACAGGAAAAUGGUUCCAAUGGAGAAGUAGAGUAUGAGUCAAGAAUUGAGAGAUGAGCAAUAUACAUUAGCAUUAUAAAACACUAAAGAAAGUAUACAUGCCUAGAGCCUCUGAGGCACACUACAAAGAAGAUGACCUGAAAAGUGACUGCUUACAGGGUCCACAUAUAGGUGACAUGAAAGUUCCCUCAGCCUUGUCAGUAUGAAUGAGCCUGUAAAGUGAAGAUGAAUGAGAAAGGGAUUAGAUGAGUCAUCUGAGUCUGUAAGGCCCUUGCAACAAGAGCAUGAAGAUGAUAAAAGAGGACAGAAAGGGAACAAGUUGGGUGAAAAGAAAACAAUGAAUUAGGGUGAAAAGAUCAAGCCAGUGACCAAACUCUCUACAACUAGAAAAGACUUAUCAGUUUCUCAAAGUACUUAUUCAUAGGUAAUUAGUCUUUUGGUAAGCAAAUUACUACUUGUUUAACGUUCCAGUUAAGAAGCCAAAUAAGAUAUCAUUUACAUCAAAAAUGAAAAAAUAAGGGGGCAUCUACUUUCUAUAAUAACGACCUGGGAAACUCAGACCAUCCUUCCUUCUGAGGACGCUGAAAAAAACUGAAUCCAAGAACUAACAACAUAUUAAGGAACUGCCAGGUGGUGACCCAGCAUGCUAAGAACACAGCAAGGAAUUCGAAGUUGUUUUAACAUUAGAAAAUCAACUGAUGUGAUUCAGCACAUUUACUGAAUAUUAUGAUGACCUGGGCAGAGUCGGUAGUGGCUAUAUGCAUACUGGCUUUGUAAUCGUUGCUUAAGCCGUAUUUGUGCUGUGCAUUUUUUAUUAACUCCUAUGCAUCGCCAGGACCCUGAAGGUGUCAUACUCUUCCUGACAGGACCUACCAGCUUGACGGAGAGCUCUAUCCCCAUUUCCUAAAGAAGAAACCUGAUCCUUGGAAAUGUUCAGUGGCUGCCCCAAGACUUCAUAGAGUACACAAAUGCUGUGAAGCACAGGCAGCCAGAGUUCAUGAAGAGGGUGUUGAACAGCGACCAGACGACAUGGUCAGGCAUGGAGGUCUCACUGUGGAAGUGGAUCAUGGUGGACAUCGGGGGAGCAGGGUUUUGGGGCGCCCCCACCACAGCCACCUUAUGCUCCUCCUUGAGCAUCUCAUAAUUGCGGGGGUGGCCGCUGUUGGCAGGAGUGAAGAAGGUUUGGAAAGUGGAUGUCGGCACAACCUCUUGUGCUCUUGCCUCCUGCCACAAGAACAUAUGUCCCAGAAAAGGGCCACUCCAUCAGCCUAGGUCCAGAAAUGAGAGGACACAUGGACUGAACUUGAAGAUGGCCCACAGCAGACCUGCAGUCAACUCUCAGCCUUUAUGUAAUGCGGGAAAGAAGGAAAUGUGAAUAUUAUAGACUACUAAAAUUCUAAAGUUGUAACAUAGCAAAAUGAUCGAUACAAUUAGCAGUGGCAAUCAGUCUAGCAUAUUGUCAUGCUAUAUGCAUGCUAUAAAACUAUUGAACAAAAAUAUCACUAUCCUAUCAUGGACACAUUGGACUUUUCUUUUCUCCUUAUGACUGCAUCACGUGUGAUGAUCAGAAAUGGAGUGAAGACAGAAAAAUAAGAAAAUUCAAGAAUGUGCUACAGAGUGAUCCUCUCCCUCUUAGAGCACCCACAGAAACCACUCAUGGCUUCUCUGUCUGCAUCCUCUCCACACAAACAUAUUCUUUAAGGUACCAGCCCCAUAUCACAUACCUGUAUGUCAGCCCAUAAUAGGCCUUACCUUAGAAGCCAAAGAUCCAUAACUACACAGUAUUCAUGUUGUAUAAUGUGGAGCAGCACCAAAAAAUAAAGUGGCAGACAAUAAUGCCUAUGACUAAAGUGACCCCUUGAUCCCCUCCCAAAGCAGUCUCCAUAUCAUAACUGUCAAUUGUAAAAAUAGUAUGUAUUUUAUAUAUUCUCCCUAAUAGGUAACUCUGUAUUUUAAAAUCUUAGGCUCCAAGUUUUAAUCUACUUCGUCCCAUCGGAGUACUUUUUUUCAAUUUUCUCAUUUACAAGGCCAUUUUUAUUUUUGCCUCACUCUGUGCUGAUGGCCCCAGAUCUACUCAGUCAGUUUCUUCUCUUCUAUGAUGUCUAUAUUCAGACACCUAGGAGAUUGACAACUCCUAGAAAUACCACUCACUCAACUGCUCCUUUCCCCUUCUUUCGUACUUGGGCAUAAACUUUACUGUAUCUUAAACACAUCUUCCUAAAUGCCUCACGACUAUGAUAAACUUGACAUGCUUACAACU
rnacentral:lncRNA from 1 species